UACGGAAGGUCCGGGCGUUAUCCGGAUUUAUUGGGCUUAAAGGGAGCGUAGGCCGCUUUGUAAGCGUGUUGUGAAAUUUGCCGGCUCAACCGGUAACUUGCAGCGCGAACUGCAGAGCUUGAGUGUGCGCAACGUUGGCGGAAUUCGUCGUGUAGCGGUGAAAUGCUUAGAUAUGACGAAGAACUCCGAUUGCGAAGGCAGCUGACGGGAGCACUACUGACGCUGAAGCUCGAAAGUGUGGGUAUCGAACAGGAUUAGAUACCCUGGUAGUCCGCACGGUAAACGAUGGAUGCCCGCUGUUUGCACAUAGUUGCAAGCGGCCAAGCGAAAGCGUUAAGCAUCCCACCUGGGGAGUACGCCGGCAACGGUGAA
rnacentral:rRNA from 1 species